UAAAUCAAUCUCUGAUUUAUUCCACAGACUCACUUCUCAGUAUUUAGAAACUAUCCAUUACUCUUCAAUAACAAAGAAACAAAAAGAAACAAAGAGGUAGUACCAACCUUAUCCCAACUCAUGACUAUUACAGCCUGGCACCCCAACAAACUUCUACAACUCCUAUAUAAUUGCUCAUGAUUUCUAGAUUCUAACCAUAGUCUUGUAAUUAACUGCUUUUAAUAAUUAAGUUAAUUAUCUGUCUUCUUGAACUAACUAUUCUAUGGACUGUUAGGCUAUUUUAUCAAUAUCUUACAAAAACGAACUAAUAUCUAUUCUACAUAGUCCCACUCCUAUCUAUGCAGCGUCCUCACAAACACACAAUUGUUACCUAUCUAAAAAAACUAUUUAACAAAACUCUACAAAGUUACUAUUUCUUCUAGCCCAUCCAAUUAAUCAUUUGUUACAUUAUCAAAUAUAGGUUCUAUCAAAUCUGGUUCCAAUUACAAAUCUUCUUCUUCCUCCAAUCCUUUGAUCGACUCCUUUCUCAACUGGUUUGAUUGAUCUUCAUUAUACUCUCCAAAUUCAUAGACUUGAGCUUCCAGUUUCAAGAU
rnacentral:lncRNA from 1 species